AUUGAACGCUGGCGGCAGGCCUAACACAUGCAAGUCGAGCGGAUGACGGGAGCUUGCUCCUUGAUUCAGCGGCGGACGGGUGAGUAAUGCCUAGGAAUCUGCCUGGUAGUGGGGGACAACGUUUCGAAAGGAAAGCUAAUACCGCAUACGUCCUACGGGAGAAAGCAGGGGACCUUCGGGCCUUGCGCUAUCAGAUGGGCCUAGGUCGGAUUAGCUAGUUGGUGGGGUAAUGGCUCACCAAGGCGACGAUCCGUAACUGGUCUGAGAGGAUGAUCAGUCACACUGGAACUGAGACACGGUCCAGACUCCUACGGGAGGCAGCAGUGGGGAAUAUUGGACAAUGGGCGAAAGCCUGAUCCAGCCAUGCCGCGUGUGUGAAGAAGGUCUUCGGAUUGUAAAGCACUUUAAGUUGGGAGGAAGGGCAGUAAGCUAAUACCUUGCUGUUUUGACGUUACCGACAGAAUAAGCACCGGCUAACUCUGUGCCAGCAGCCGCAGUAAAAC
rnacentral:rRNA from 1 species